rnacentral:rRNA from 1 species
GCAAGUCUGGUGCCAGCAGCCGCGGUAAUUCCAGCUCCAAUAGCGUAUAUUAAAGUUGUUGCAGUUAAAAAGCUCGUAGUUGAACCUUGGGUCUGGCUGGCCGGUCCGCCUCACCGCGAGUACUGGUCCGGCUGGACCUUUCCUUCUGGGGAACCUCAUGGCCUUCACUGGCUGUGGGGGGAACCAGGACUUUUACUGUGAAAAAAUUAGAGUGUUCAAAGCAGACCUUUGCUCGAAUACAUUGGCAUGGAAUAAUAGAAUAGGACGUGCGGUUCUAUUUUGUUGGUUUCUAGGACCGCCGUAAUGAUUAAUAGGGAUAGUCGGGGGCGUCAGUAUUCAGCUGUCAGAGGUGAAAUUCUAGGAUUUGCUGAAGACUAACUACUGCGAAAGCAUUUGCCAA